rnacentral:rRNA from 1 species
CCUACGGGGGGCAGCAGUGGGGGAUAUUGCACAAUGGGGGAAACCCUGAUGCAGCGACGCCGCGUGGGUGAAGAAGCGCCUCGGCGCGUAAAGCCCUGUCAGCAGGGAAGAAAAUGACGGUACCUGAAGAAGAAGCCCCGGCUAACUACGUGCCAGCAGCCGCGGUAAUACGUAGGGGGCAAGCGUUAUCCGGAUUUACUGGGUGUAAAGAGGGCGCAGGCGGCGAUGCAAGCCAGGAGGGAAAGCCCGGGGCCCAACCCGGGGACUGCUCUUGGAACUGCGUGGCUAGAGUGCAGGAGGGGCAGGCGGAAUUCCUGGUGUAGCGGUGAAAUGCGUAGAGAUCAGGAGGAACACCGGUGGCGAAGGCGGCCUGCUGGACUGCAACUGACGUUGAGGCCCGAAAGCGUGGGGAGCAAACAGGAUUAGAUACCCUUGUAGUC